rnacentral:lncRNA from 1 species
AGGUGCUCCAGCACUCUAAUAAUUUUUGUGGCCUUCCUCUGGACUUGCUCCAACAGGUCCAUGUCUUGUGCUGGAGAUCAGCUGGAUGCAGAACUCCAGAUGGGGUCUCAUGAGAGCAGAGUAGAGGAGCAGGACCACCUCCCUUGACCUGCUGGCCACACUGCUUUGGGUGCAACUCAGGAUGCUGCUGGCCUUCUGGACUGUGGGCAUACCCAAGAUAUACUGUUGUUAAAGAGGUGGAACAGAUGUUUGGAAGCUUUGCCUGGAACAGCAUAUAAUCUACUGGCAUUUUGGAUCUGCAGGAGAAAACCAGAAUGUUUCCACCGUCAAAGGUCUCUUGGAGUUGUUGAAAGAAGGCUGGAACAGUCCUGGUUUUUGGACUUGCUUUUCUUAAGGUAAUUUUACAAAAAUGCCUGUAGAAUGCUCAGAAGCUCACCAGCUUUAUGAAGAAGACCUUCAGACUUUCCAGAACUCAAAAGUUCCUCUCAGUGCCAAUUACAAGACUGGAAAGAGGUGGAAUUUGGAAUGCUACAGUACCUGGGUGUCAGAGUCCACAGAAGAGAUUCAGUGGGUUAAACCCAGAAAUCUGAGUUUGCCAAGUAUUGUCUCAGAUAAAUUCUUUCAGCAGUUAUUCUAAGACAGCUUAUUUAAACAUAAGGCCUUAAUUUCAGAGUUAGGGAUUAGAAAGAUGACAAAGAAUAGCACUAGGUUGGAAAGUAUGAAGCCUGUACUUGACUCCAGUGAAAAUAGUUACAUCUGAGUCAUUUUGAUGAAAGCAUGUACAGUGCUAAGACAGUGGCUAAGACAGAAACUAAUGGCGUCAGAAAAUGAAUUAAAAGAAUUCUUAUUCCUAUUAGAAAAAAACAUUAUGUUUGAUUUCCUAUCUUAAAAAAAAUAUCUCAAAAUAAAUGCAGCUGUUUAAUAUCUUGAGGCA